rnacentral:rRNA from 1 species
GACGAACGCUGGAGGCGUACUUAACACAUGCAAGUCGAACGAUGAAAUGGAGCUUGCUCCAUGGAUUAGUGGCGAACGGGUGAGUAACACGUGAAUAACCUGCCCUUAAUUUUGGAAUAACCCAGGGAAACCUGGGCUAAUACCGGAUAAGUAAACCUGUGGCAUCACAUGGUUUUGGAAAGUUUUUCGAUUAAGGAUGGAUUCGCGGCCUAUCAGCCUGUUGGUGAGGUAAUGGCUCACCAAGGCGACGACGGGUAGCCGGCCUGAGAGGGUGAACGGCCACACUGGGACUGGGACACGGCCCAGACUCCUACGGGAGGCAGCAGUGGGGAAUAUUGCGCAAUGGACGAAAGUCUGACGCAGCGACGCCUCGUGAGGGACGAAGGUCUUCGGAUUGUAAACCUCUUUCAGCAGGGGCGAAGCGAAAGUGACGGUACCUGCAGAAGAAGCACCGGCUAACUAUGUGCCAGCCGCCGCCGUAA